CAGAGAUCGACGUAUGGGUUAAUUCCUAGGUAUCUACAGGCUAUAAAGAAAUAGGUAAGCAUCCUCCACCCAUUUGGCACGAGCUGUCCAGGGCUCAUAUUAUGCUCGACCAAUAAGGCCACAAAAAAGGGAUGCAGAGGCCAUCGAAAUCCUCCCUUAAGUGAGUCCCUAAAAAUCACGAACUCUCCAUCCCGAGCAAAGGCCAUCCUAUCCUCUACCCCCGGUGUCCUAACGUCGCAUUUGGGCAUGAGCCCAUGCUCCCUAGCCGUCGAUAUUGCUAGAUGUUCCUUAAAUUUACAGGGGACCUCGGGAUACCUAAAUGGGGUCGGGAUACUUUGUGCCCGAGGUUGGGCAUUAAUUGGGACAGCCAUAGGUAUGAUUGAGCCUCCUAUGUCCUCGGGAGUACUCCUCGAGGAUGAUGAGGACGAAGUGUCGCUACUGCUACUACUAGACAUCCUGACCUAGAUAAAAAAUACCUAAAGAAUAACUUAAAAACUCGAGGUCUUACCUUAAAGUCGACGUCUAAAAACUCAAAGUCCGAUCCCGACGAUUAGCGAGAGAAGUUUACUGAGAGUGAAAAGUGAAAAAUGAAAUAAGGGGAGGGUAUUUAUAGGUAACAGGAGCAGGAAGCCCAAAGGUCACUAUCCCGACCGUUAGAUCUGGACACGUGUCCCACAUCUAACCCUAC
rnacentral:lncRNA from 1 species